UACGUAGGGAGCAAGCGUUGUCCGGAAUCAUUGGGCGUAAAGCGCGCGUAGGCGGCCCUGUAAGUCCGCUGUGAAAGUCAAAGGCUCAACCUUUGAAAGCCGGUGGAUACUGCAGGGCUAGAGUCCGGAAGAGGCGAGUGGAAUUCCUGGUGUAGCGGUGGAAUGCGCAGAUAUCAGGAGGAACACCAAUAGCGAAGGCAGCUCGCUGGACGGUACUGACGCUAAGGCGCGAAAGCGUGGGAGCGAACGAGG
rnacentral:rRNA from 1 species